GGGCGCGUACCGAAGUGGACAAACGGGUCAGACUGUAAAUCUGAUGGCUCUGCCUUCGUAGGUUCGAAUCCUACCGCGCCCA
rnacentral:tRNA from 1 species